UACGUAGGGGGCUAGCGUUGUCCGGAAUCAUUGGGCGUAAAGCGCACGUAGGCGGUCUGUUAUGUCGGAUGUGAAAGCCCUUGGCUCAACUGAGGAAGUGCAUCCGAAACUGGCAGGCUAGAGUACUAAAGAGGGUCGCGGAAUUCCCGGUGUAGAGGUGAAAUUCGUAGAUAUCGGGAGGAACACCGGUGGCGAAGGCGGCGACCUGGGUAGAUACUGACGCUGAGGCACGAAAGCGUGGGGAGCAAACAGG
rnacentral:rRNA from 1 species